UUUUUAUAUAUAUAUAUAUAUAUAUAUAUAAAAAAAUGCAAUAUAUAUAUUGCAUUUUUCCCCGAGAAAGGCAUUUCUUCAAUAAUACUAAAAAGUCUAAUAGGUCACGAAAUCUCUACGCACUCUACAUAUCCUAUCCGCCCCCGAUUGCCCCUUUUUGUUCCAGUGCCCCCUUCAAGAAUGAGAACGCCCCCUGGGGGACGAUAUCACCCACUUUGAGAAUCACUGGUCUACAGUAUAGAAAAUGUGCUAUUUUUACGAUAUCUAAAGACAUGAAUUCUUUUGCUAUUGUAAAAUUGUUUUCGAUAUCGUAAUUAUUAUAUAUUGUGAAAAUUAAUAGAAUCAGUAGGAC
rnacentral:lncRNA from 1 species